GCAAUGGCCAGCACUUCUGUCAUUAAACUGUGAACGACCCCACUGAGGCCACCUUCCUGCAGUAAUGCAUGUUCUUCAAGUAGUAGUAGUAGAAGUAAGGCACAGAGGGAACUCACCUCGCGUGUUUCUUCGCGGAUCAAGAAAAAGUCCACAUUGCCCAGAUACUUUUCUAUUCUGGCCCCAGGAACAGUGCUCAGUGACGUCAAGUCAAUUCCGUGCAACUGCAUUAAAGCUUAUCAAGAAAGGCUCAAAAUGGUUCCAACCUGCCUUCUGUGUCCGUUGACAAGUAGGCUCUUCAUCCAUGUCAAAUAUCAGAUCUUGCUCUGCAUCAAAUACAUUAAACCUGUCAGUAAAUUCAAAGGACAAGAUGCGAAAGAGCGUAAGGCUUAUCUUGAUGAUCUUUACAAAGUAAAGUAUAAAUGGUAAAGAUCACCUGUUGGCCUCCAGUCCCUGGCUGAGACAGCAGUGCCCACAACUGUCACCUGGAAGAGAAACACCUGCAGGAUGUGCUGCACCAUCUUUUGUGAAAUCCGGCCACUUCCAUUAGUAAGGUCUGCCACACACUCUUUUUGACAUUUCCACAUGUGUGGUUUGCAAAGAGAUCAACUGCACCGCAGAUUCCAUCUUGUGUAAAUAAGAUUGCCUGGCAUUAACUUUAACAUAAAAGCAUUUGUGAUAAAUACCUGCAAGUCAUCUUGGUCUGGCAGCUCAACAUGGAAUGAGAGGUUCAGGAGGCAACAGGGGACCAGAUGACGCAAUUUCACAAACAGGCUCUGCAAUUUCAAAGAGGUCCCUUGGUAGGAUCUUUGUACUUUAAAACCAAAGAAAAUCUAGAGAAAAGCAAAUCAUGUCAAGGCCAUGGAACAGGGAGACGGCAGCAGGGCGUCAUGCAUCACCAGGAGGAGCCAUGAUUGUGUCAUCACGCUCAACAGGUCUCAAUAAUUUAUUUGCUACUGAAAACUGAAAAGGACUGGGAAAGUAAGGAAGCAUAAGAAAUGUCGAAUAGAAGAGGAGUGUGAUGUCUGCUGGACCCAAAGAGGUACAAUUCACCCACUGACUUUCCGCUUCCAGUAGUGCAGCACAAGGCUCACAAAAACGUGUGCACCAUGCUGCCAUGCUCGCAACAAAAAUCGACUCUAUCAAUGAAUUGAAAGUAGUUACUUUAGCAACAUGGCACUCGCACAAAAGAUUCCAAAGAACAUGCUGACAAGGAUUCCUCACGACAAGGAGAAGCUGAGUGAUGCAUUCAAUGUGGUUCUUGAUUUGAGUAUUCACAUACACACAGUAGCUUAACAUAACAGAAUGCUAGUCUACCAACAAGCCCAAUUUUCUGCCGUGAUCACAACGGAAGAAAACAGAACAAAACCCCCAGCAGAGAAUCAUCGCAAACAUCUCAUUGAACAUGCACUAAAAACAUGCAACAACCUCGGCACAUCUACUCUGAAGAUAAUGCAUUGCAUGUCAGUGACUUAACCAGAACCCCCUAAAAUUUUGUGAGAUUGUGCAAUAUUUCAUCAAAAGCAUGUACGGACACCCCCUUGCAGAAUUCUGGGUAAACCACUGAUGCAUGUGACAGGAGGCCUCUUCCUGAAUGCUACAAAGUCAUGACCAUCAUGACCACUUGCAUGAAGAAAUUCCUCUGUGGCGUCCUCUGUAGCUUUGGCAGUGCCUUACAGACGAGCAGUGUCGAGCACAGUAGCGGUGCCCGAGGUACUACAGAAGCAACUGAGGACACCACUUAAGAAUCUCCUCAACGUUUGUGCAUGCGGGCAAGGCAAAAGAAUUCGUACUUGGGAUUGUAAUUGAAGGUUGGUUGACAACAUUUCAAGAAUCUCAUUUUUUUCAACAGUCUCAUUUUUUGCAUAGCGUUGGGAGAAGGUGCAGCUGCUGAUGCUACUGCGUGCAAAAACUGGCAAACAUGACGGGUUGAGAGAUUCUUUGGUUCCGGUAGUAGCACAUGUAACAAUAAACCUUCUCAUUAUCAUCAAAUAAAGUUGUUUGGCUCAGUCGGUAGCGCCUUCUGAUCUCGAGAUCGCGGGUGCGAACCCGGCCGAGGACGCCAGCAACAUGGUGGCAGGGUACAACGAAAAUGGUUAAAAAUUGGGCUGUUCGGUGCAGCAUACUUUAAA